rnacentral:hammerhead_ribozyme from 1 species
ACACUGCCAAGGAGUCCCACAACGGGACGAAACGGCCGUCCAGUGU